CAGAAAAAAGAAAACUCCCUCACCCUCUCACCCCGCGAACCCUAGCGCUCCAGAUCCGCCACCCACCUCACGCGCUCCCUCUCCCCCAUCCCUCCCCUCGUCUCCCACAUCGCCGCCGCCACCCCGCCGAUCCCAUCCCUCCUGAUUCAGAUCCGGCCCCGCCGCCCGCGCCCGGGCGCCACCACCCGCUCCUCCUCGCCUCCUGGAGGACGUCCGCCGCUCUUCCUCCACCCGUCCCGGAGGCCUCAGUCGGCGCCCUCCGUCGCAGGGCCGCCGCGCUCGUCCCGCCCUCGCCGCCGCACCUCCACCGCCAUCUCCGCUGGCUCCUCGCCUCCGCCUCCGCCCCUUCCCCGUCCAGCGCGCCGCUCGGGAAUGAGCACUGGAAGGACCUGGUGGUCGCCGUCCGGGACGACGUGCUCAUCCCGCGGCCCGAGACGGAGGCCGUCGUGGACAUGGUUGCCACCACCGACUGCAAGCGGGGGUCCUGGUCCUCUCCCUCGUCGUCCUCGGCGGCGGCAUCGCGGCUUGGCGCCAUCGCCAUGCCCUGCGUCGACGUUUUGAUCAGCUUUCACGGAUCGCCGUCCUCACGAGGUUAGUCGAAGAGGGCUGGAGUUCAUGCCGUUCCUGCUGUCCCUGUCCGUGUUCCUCUUCGGCACCUCCUGGUGCAUCUACGCCCUGCUCGGCCUCGACCCCUUCAUCUUCGACCUCAUCCUGGAUCAUCAUAUAUUGAAAUCUGGGACUUGUUUCGGAGUUCAGACUCCCUAUUUCGGGGCAGCAACAAGGAAAUUUAAGGCCUGUUUGUAGUGAUUCACAAGGAUUUCCUGGUGCGGGCUUUGCUCCCCUUCGAACCAAAUCGAACCCAACAAAGAGAAAGCACACCCGCACGCAUCCUUUUGGUUGAUGUCCCUGAUGCCAAAUUGUUGAAAAUAUUGGAGCUAAAUUGGUCAGGUUGAAAAUACUCAGGUUGGUGCAACUCCGACCUUGUCGCCCACACGUCGUGCCCGCAGCGGCCUCAGCGCCGUCGACACCACCACCAGGUCCUGAUUUCCCAACCACGCCGAUCUUGGCGUUCUUCUUUUUGUUUGAUUGUGUUUCAACCUAAGAAUUUUGUUACAGCUUCGGCGCUUCGCGUUUGAGUUUUGCAGCGCCGGCGGACGUCCAAGCUGCUUACUGAAUGCCAGAUGGUGGAAAAGAUUGUGCUGAUAUAUCCCCGCGACAGCCCCAAAUGCUGGAUCAGUUCAACUCCUUGCGGGUCCCCAAGCUCAGUUUUGGACCUUUCUUGGUGGAUGUGUCUCCUUACUUCAUCUCUUUUACUUUCAACUUUGUCGCAACCAUAGAGGAUUCUUAAUUUGAUUCUUCUGGUCAUUAUUGGUGCUGCUGCUGCUGUUGUUGUGGUUGUUGGAGGUGUUGCUGUUGCAUCUGGCGGAGCUGCCUUUGGGGCCCCAAAAGGAAUUCUACCUGAAGAAAUUCGGAGAAAGCUUGAAGCCCCAGUUAGCAACUUGCUUUAUAUGUUAUUGACUUGUAAUGCUAAAUUUGUUGAGAAUUUUGAUGUACUGUUGCACAUGUUACUCGAAUGCUGGUAGUUAUGUACAUAUUCUCACAAUAUUAUCCGUUGUUUACUUGAAAUGCAUUCUUGGGCUGAAAGUGGCUGAAAAAGUAUAUGUUGUAUUGAA